UACGUAGGGGGCGAGCGUUGUCCGGAAUUAUUGGGCGUAAAGAGCGUGUAGGCGGUUCGGUAAGUCUGUCGUGAAAACCUGAGGCUCAACCUCGGGCGUGCGAUGGAUACUGCCGGGCUAGAGGAUGGUAGAGGCGAGUGGAAUUCCCGGUGUAGCGGUGAAAUGCGCAGAUAUCGGGAGGAACACCAAUUGCGAAGGCAGCUCGCUGGAACGUUACUGACGCUGAGACGCGAAAGCGUGGGGAGCAAACAGG
rnacentral:rRNA from 1 species